UAUGUGAUCGUCUCUCGCAUAUCAAUAAGCGGAGGAAAAGAAACUAACAAGGAUUCCCCUAGUAACGGCGAGUGAAGCGGGAAGAGCUCAAAUUUGAAAUCUUAAAGGGUUUCCCUUUACGAAUUGUAGUUUAAAGAAGUGUUUUCUGUUGAGGUUUUGGUAAAAGUUCUUUGGAAUAGGACAUCAUAGAGGGUGAGAAUCCCGUAUUUGACCUUUACUUUCAACUUUGUGAUACACUUUCAAAGAGUCGGAUUGUUUGGGAAUGCAGUCCAAAAUGGGUGGUAAAUUUCAUCUAAAGCUAAAUAUUGGCGAGAGACCGAUAGCGAACAAGUACCGUGAGGGAAAGAUGAAAAGAACUUUGAAAAGAGAGUUAAACAGUACGUGAAAUUGUCAAAAGGGAAGCGUUUGACACCAGUGUUGUUUUUCUGAAAAUCAAUUAAAGAACUGUUUAUGCUAAGUUGUUUAGACUUUAUCAGCUAACUGUUUAGUUUUGAGCUUUUCUUUAAUGCACUUUUCAGUUAACAAGCCAACAUCAAUUUCUUUUGCUGUAAAAAAGCUUGAGGAAGGUGGCUUGAGAUUCGUCUUAAGUGUUUAUAGCCUCUUGCCUAUGCAGUCGGAGAGAUUGAGGUCUGCAGCGUAGAUCCUUCGGGGCUAAAUGCAUUUGUGCUAAGUUAUAACAUUUUAUAGACAACUUGUUGACUAUGAUUUGUCUUGUAGCUUACUCGCUUAUGUUAUUUUACCUACGCUUAGGAUGUUGAUCUGUAGUGCGUGCGC
rnacentral:rRNA from 1 species